rnacentral:lncRNA from 10 species
UAUGAAAGAUAAAUAAAAUUUCUAACAGAUAACAUAAAGGAAUGUCUUCAUGAUCACAAAAUAGGGAAAGUACAGAAAGGACUAACUACAAAGGAAGAGAUUAUUAAAAUGGACUACGUUAAAAUUAAAACCUCUGGCCAAGCGCGGUGGCUCACACCUGUAAUCCCAGCACUUUGGGAGGCCGAGGCAGAAGAAUCGCUUGAAUCCGGGAGGCAGAGGUUGCAGCAAGCCGAGACUGCACCACUGCACUCCAGCCUGUGCGACAGAGCAAGACUCUAUUUCAAAAAAAAAAAAUAAUUAAAACCUCAUUUAUCAAAAAAUACCAAAGAAUGAAAGAGCAAGCCAUGAAGUAGAAAGAUUAGAAAGAUAUUUGCAUGAAAAGAUAUUGGUAAUAAACGUAACUGACAAAGGGCUUGUAUCUAGAAUAUAUAAAGAACUCCUAUGAUUCAAUAAGAAAAAGACACACUCUAACAGCCAAUAGGCAAAAGAUUUGAACUAGUACAUCACACACACAAAAAAACCAAAUAGCCUUUAAACGUACGAAAUGAUGUUCAACAUCUUUAGUCAUCAGGAAAAAUGUAAAUUUGAAACUGCAAUGAGAUACAUCCAUCAGAAAGACUAAAACUAAAAAAAAAAACUAAUAAUACCAUAUGUGAAAAUGGAAAUUGAAAGCAGUCUGAAAAAGCGAAGGAAGCCUAACACAAAAUAAUUUUUUGUUGUUGUUUUUUGGUUUUUCUUUGCAGUUUUUACAGUUUUAUUUAAACACAAAACAUGCACAUGAGCUGUCUAUUCAUUUUCUUCACUGCGCAGCCUGGCGUUGGGGUUGGUGUGACUCCGAUGGACAGCUGGGCAGCUCUUUCCACGAUGGCUUUGCAGUUCUUGGAGGAAACAUCUCAGCACAGUAAGAUCUGUUGCACAUCAGCAGCACUUCCAGCUCCUUGAUGUUGUGGACCAGGAACUUCCAGAAGUCAGUAGGCAGCAUGUGCUUUGUUUUUUUUGUCGCUCCCACAACCAAUGUUGGGCAUCAAGAUUGGUCCUUGAACCUUCUACGAACCCUGUUGUCAAUACCUCUG